GAUGAAGAACGUAGCGAAAUGCGGUAAGUAAUGUGAAUUGCAGAAUUCAGUGAAUCAUCGAAUCUUUGAACGCACCUUGCACCCUUUGGCAUUCCGAAGGGUAUGCUCGUUUGAGUGUCAUUGUACUCUCACACUUCCGAUCUUUGGAUUGGGAGCGGUGGACUUGGGUGUUGCUGCUUACUGUGGCUCACCUCAAAUCGAUUCGUGCACCUCUUGGUUGGACAUAGUACGGCGUGAUAAGUGUCUUCGCCGGCACCUCAGUAGAGGGUGGCUGAUCGGGAGCUCUGCUUCAAACCGUCCUCGGACAACAACUGACAACUUGACCUCAAAUCGAGUAGGACUACCCGCUGAACUUAAGCAUAUCAAUAAGCGGAGGA
rnacentral:misc_RNA from 1 species